rnacentral:rRNA from 1 species
AACUUAGCAGAGAUGCUUUGGUGCCUUCGGGAACUCUGAGACAGGUGCUGCAUGGCUGUCGUCAGCUCGUGUUGUGAAAUGUUGGGUUAAGUCCCGCAACGAGCGCAACCCUUAUCCUUGUUGCCAGCGGUCCGGCCGGGAACUCAAAGGAGACUGCCAGUGAUAAACUGGAGGAAGGUGGGGAUGACGUCAAGUCAUCAUGGCCCUUACGAGUAGGGCUACACACGUGCUACAAUGGCGCAUACAAAGAGAAGCGACCUCGCGAGAGCAAGCGGACCUCAUAAAGUGCGUCGUAGUCCGGAUUGGAGUCUGCAACUCGACUCCAUGAAGUCGGAAUCGCUAGUAAUCGUAGAUCAGAAUGCUACGGUGAAUACGUUCCCGGGCCUUGUACACACCGCCCGUCACACCAUGGGAGUGGGUUGCAAAAGAAGUAGGUAGCUUAACCUUCGGGAGGGCGCUUACCACUUUGUGAUUCAUGACUGGGGUGAAGUCGUAACAAGGUAGGCGUACGUGU